AGCUCUGUAUGACGUUCACUCAUGUGCUAUUAUAUAUAUUCACGCAAGUGGUAUAGUCAUGUGAGCAAAACAAAUCAGGAGGGAGCUUGUGCAAGAUUUUAGCUCCUCCCCCAUGAAGCGGAGAAUCAGAUUGGAUUGGCUAAUAGGAAAUAAGAUGCCACCUUAAAUAAAAGUGGUUUAAGAGAGAAUUGUUGCAUUUUUUAAUCAUCUCACAUAGAAGAAAUAUUUUCCACCCAGGUAUACAUGCGUCGCUGAGCAUUUAAUAACAAUUUGGGUGUUUGGCUUCUUUAAAGAGCUCCCUCAGGAAUCCUUAUUGGAAGGAUUGGGUACCUGUCUGUUGGGUUGGCUAGGAUUAUUAUUUCCAUUUUGCCCAUGAGGUAAAAUUUGAGCUGGAGAGUCCUCAGUUGCAUUCUGACCCACGGCACUACACAUCAUAAGUGUAUCCUUUAGCUUUUCUCUGGUAAAAUUUUUCUUUAGAAUUAAAAGCUCAUUUUUUUCUGAACAGGAAGGCAGGCAGAUAAUCUCUACCUCUAGUUCAUCACUCAUCACACGCCCCUGAAGACCAUAUAAACUAUAUAUGGCAGCUGGCAUAGCAAUAAGGAGAAGAAGAGGAAACACGGGUCACUGUGGCUUCCUGAGUAGAGGAGCCCCCUAAGGAAACUCUGCGUCUGGUUACAUGCCUUUGACGGUUCCCACCAGCUCUACCACUGUUCCCUGACUUGGCUGAAACCUUCAUUUGGCUGUUGGUGUCUGUGGUGGAACUCAGGGAGGAGCCAUUACUGUAUGAGAGUAAAUCAUUGUGGGGACAGGGGGCUCACAAUGAUUCAUUUCUCCGAGAGGCCUUUACAAAAACCCUCCCUUGCUUAACAAAUGGGCUCUAGCCAGGGUUUCACAGCAGAUAAUAACAAUGCAGAACUUUACAGCCAUUUCAGACUUGGGAGUGAGCCCCCAUUAUUUCCAAUCGAAGAACCGCUUUUAAUAUUUGGCCACAUAUUUUAUUCAUUCGUUCAUUUUAUUAUUAUUAUUAUUUCUAGAAUUUUUGUCCCACUUUCCUAACCCACAAGACUUCCAAAGUGGCCCCAAAGAUGUUAGAUGUCUCUAUGCCUCUUUCCCCUUAAAAACAAUUACAAAAAGAAGGUGGCGUUUGGUACCACUGGAGUGACCCAGUUGCUGUUGCUGGCAUGAAUUCCAGGUCUGAAUCAUGCUCCAUCAGUUGAAGAACCCUGGGGUAGGAGAACCCACAGAGACCUUCUGUUUAUUGGAUUUCUCGUGAAAGAUGGGGCUGACUAAGUCUAUAAUCUGCUCAAAAAAAAGGAUAAAAUCCUCACUACUUCCAUUAAGUUGCUCGUUCAGGGUGGAUUUCGAUAAUCACCUCUCUGCACAAUUAAUGCCCCCGCAAGUUUUUAAGGAAUCUGUCCCUGAGGGAGUAUCAUUCUGGAGACCCUGCUCUCAAAACACUUCAUGAGGCAAGGUAUGGGCAAUAUUACCAAGCCUGGUAACACAGUGUUCCAACGAUAUCCUGUAUUUUGGGAAAGGGACUCGACUCACUGUUUUAGGUAAGUACUUCUUCAACCAUAACUUGAAAUAUGUAAUAAUCAUUCCCUCAUUCCUGGGAACUGUAGUUCUGCCAGGGAUAGGGAAUAUUGCUUAGCACCCUCACUAAGGCACAAUUAUUUGGAAGUGUGUGUUUGUGUAGUUUAGACCCUUUCGGUCUGAAGACACCCCCUCUUCCUAGACCACUAUUGGGCAAACAACAUUAUACAGUACAUAAAAUAGGUGUUGUGGACUGUCUUGGCUUAAAAUAUAAAUAGAACAAACAGGUGUUUACAAGCAACGAAGAGUCCUGUGACUUUCUUGGUACAGACUGCAGUGCAAUUAAAUGCAGGUGUAUAUAUAGGGGAACCAAGAAAGUUUGCAGAGUGGAGCCAAAGGGACAUGCCACAGGAAAAAGUAUUGUCUGGCAUCUUUCCCUACAGCUGACCUUUGCUUCUUGGCCACACAUCCUAAAUCUCCCAACUGAAGAUAACUUUUUGUGCAUCUGCCGGAGGCAGGCUCUGAUCCAUGAAGGCACAUGAUACACCAUAAAUCUAUUAGUCUUUAAAGUGCCACCACGAGACUGGUUUUUGCUACAGUAAAACCUAAGAUGCAGAUGCCCCUCUGGGACUUGGUUGAUCCAUGGGUAAGCUUGCUAGAUAUCUUUCCCACUUCUUCCAUAGUUAUCUUGGAGAAACAGAGGGAGGUCAAGAUGAAAUUCUAUGAGAUGAAAUGGGUCUGGAGACAGGGGAGGGUAGAGAGAAGUAUUCUGGAGUUUUUUACCCACCUAAAGAUAAGAAGUCCCAUCAUUUUCUGAAAACACCGUUGACAUGGUUUUGUUUUUAUCUUUGCCGUAUGAGAUAAGUCACUUGUGAGCUCUUAAAUCACCCUGUCUUAACCAGAGAUAACUUCUCUGGGGAAUUUAUUCUUGUUACUCUGUUUAACACUGUGUCAAACACCCCACUGAACUUUGGCCAAGGAACCAGGCUGACGGUUCUAGGUGAGUUUUUUAUUCUGUUUGUUAGUAAAAACUAGUAAGGAAAACAAUCUCCAGGAAAGGUUUUCUGUGUGCAAGCCCAAUUAAAAUCCCCUGCUCAAGAGAAGAGUUAUGUUUGUUUUGGAGAACAUCCUAAUGAGCUCUAUCCCAAGACUACAACCGUAUCCCAAUUAGUAAGAAGCUAAAAAUGUGCCCCUCUCCCAAAUGCAGAAAAUAAGCAGAGUUAUAGAAUUGUAGAGUUGGAAGGGACCCUGUGGGUCAUCUAGUCCAACCCCCUGCAAUGCAGGAUAUUUUUUUUACCCAAGGUAGGGCUUGAACCCAUGACCCUGAGAUUAAGAGUCUCAUGAUCUACCAAGUGAGAUAUUGAUAUUCUUAGGAUUGAACCUAAAAAUGGGAGUAGGAAGGAAGAGGCAUCUUAAUCUGAAUCAAGCAAUGGACAUACGUGAACAGAGAGGUUGCAAUUUCAUUCUGCAAGGGUCAUGGUCAGGAAAUACAGUUGUGCCGGAGGAGCUUAGGAUGGGCCUUCCCACCCCUCGUUCAUUUUUUGGCUGGCAAUUGUUGAGCCAGGCAGGUCAGAAAAAGGAGAGAGAGGCAGCAUCUAUGUUAGGAAACGCCAUUAUUUUUAGGUGAUGGUUUUGUCACUGUGUACUAUGAAGCUUACUUUGGGAAGGGCACUCGACUCACAGUACUUGGUAAGAAAAUCCAUGGUGAAUUGUUUCAUUUUUGUAUUGGAAUUGGCUAAUUGUGACAGAGGUUUGUAAAAGCAAUGGGGUCUGGGUUGUAGGUCCUUUUUAAACUGUUCCCUAAAAUGAAAUGGGGAUGUUGUGAAUCAGCACACCUACCAAGAAAAUUUGUUAGUAAUCAAGACUUAUUUUGGAUUCCCCUGAGAAGCACUAGAUGUUUUUGCCUUAGGAGCAAUCUCCAAAUUCACUGGCAAUUUUGCUCCAGGAGAAGUUUGGGGACUACUUAGGUUGGAAGGAGAGAAAGAGUUUCAGCUAAUCUUAUUCACACCUAUUUGGCUCCCUUCAAAACUCCACAGGUGUUUUGCCUGAGGAGGAACUCUUACAUUCCAAGGCUGUUUGAAGCAAAAUGUCUGUGGCAAGUCUCCAACGAACCAUUUCAGUGCAGGAACAGACUGGCUAAAUAGACCUCCAUCCAAGGGAGGUCUUUUCAUUCUCUGCAAGGAAUAACUCUCCACAUCUGUGCAUCAUUGGUGUCUUAGCACCUGAUUACUGAAGGUUGGAUGUGAUAAAGCGAGGGAAAUUGUUGAACUACAGUUCCCAUUGGCACCAGCGAGCUUGGACAGUGGUCAGAAAUGAUGGGAUUUGUAGCCUGGCAACAUCUGGAGGACUAAAUGUUCCCCACCCCAAGUUGUGCUGAUUUUUCUAUAAAGCUGGGGGAGGUUUAAAGAAGGGGGGGCUUGAAUCCUUCCUUUGUCCAUGCUCCCUCCAUGAAACUGCUUCUUUCCAGCUGGUUCCCCCCCAAAAAAGAGAUUAUUUCCAUUCAUGAAGCUCCACUGGGAGAGAUGUUCUUGGAGAGAACUGAUUUCAGAGACAAAAUAAAAGUGUGGGGGAAAGCUCUGGAUGGAAGUUUUCAUUCCUGACUGCCAAACCAUGCUUUAUAUCUGGGGUUCCCAAAUUUUCCAGCUGUUUUUGGACUACAAUUCCCGCCAUCCUUGACCACAAGUCCUGCUAGCUAAGGAUGAUGGGAGUUGUAGUCCAACAGCAGCUUUAUACCAUAUCUUCACCCACCUCUCCCUGCUUUAUAGAGACUUUGGGUGGUCAGAUCCAUCGCCCGAAGGGAUGACGAAAAGAGGAUGCCAACUUGCUUGGAAUUUUAUAUGUAUAGAUGCAAAUUUAUAAAUAAGUUUGCAUCAUUGGACAGCCCUCAGAUAUAAGAUACCUUCAGACACAAGACUGUCCUCAAACAGCCCUGAAAAUAGACAUGUGGCCGCCCUAGAAGGAAUCAGUGGUGACCCAUUUCAUGGAUCUCUGCUGAUAUCUCAUCAACCUCGGCCCUGAAUUUGUGAGAUAAUUUCCCCGAGAGGUAUUGCAUGCGAAGCCGUGGGAGCAUUCUAUGGGAUGGAAUGAAACGGUAUGAAAAUUCUGUCUGGGGGUGUUAGGUCCUUAAAGUCCCAUUCACACACAUGCAAAUAAUCACAAUCCUAAUGUAGUAGCAGAUUUCACGCUCAGAGAGCAUGCAGGUGACUCUAUCAGCUCAUCUAUCGUUGUCCUGGAGCCUCCAAGGAAUUAAAGGGCAGAGGGGGAGAUGUUGACAAGAAACAGAUGCCUUAGAUAAAGUGUGCUCUGCAAUUAAUUUCUGUGACAGAUCAGGAGGAAACAAAUGUCUCUGCCUUCCAACAGAAAGCCUCAUUUCUUUUCAUGUCUUAUCAGCACUGGGUAAGUUAUGAAGUAGUGGCAGAGAGGAGGAACUUUGACAGAGCAGCUUUCCAACUGUAGCAGACAGAGGAUUACCCUGUGGGCAAUCAAAGUGGGGUUAUUUCAUGAGCUAGUUGGCUGUGCAAACACUGUUCCGUUGCACUUUGGAGCAGGGACCAAGCUGACUGUUUUAGGUAAGGAAAUGAACCUUCUCACAAACUUCUGUACUGAAAAGGGGUCAAUCUAACGUUCCUUCGAGUUCCACAUUGCUAUCUUAACAAAACUAGAUAUAUUAUUGCACGGCACAAAUUGGCUGACGGGUUGGAAGCCGCCUCCUUCUAACAAGCAAUUUGGCUCCAAACACUGACUCCAUAGCUGUCCCAGACAGAGAAGAGAGCUUUGUUAAACAAACAAACAAACAAAAAAUUAGGAAUUGGUUUGCCCAAAAAUGUACUGAGGGCUCAAAGGUAGCCACAGGCGAUCCAUUGCACAUUCAAUUUGAGAAGCUGACAAAGAAGGAGAGAGUAAAAGGCAAAUCUCUUAAAGUCCAGGGGGAGAGAAGACAGAGACAGAAGCAGGAAAUAUAAAUGUGUUAGCUGGGCUGAUGUGUCAUAGAAACAUAGAGUAGGAAGGGUCCAUGAGGGUCAUCUAGUCCACCCCCUGCAAGGCAGGAAUCUUUUUGCCCAAUGUGGGGCUCGAACCCAUGACCCUGAAAUUAAGAGCCUCAUGCUCUGCCAUCUACUCCAAACCACAGAGGAUGAAUAUGAUCAGAACCUGCACAUUUUGCAGAAGCCCUCCUCAUCUACAUAAACAAGGCAGUCAUUGAUUAGGAGUAAAUAGCAUGAUCAUGGUAUUUAGAAAUACAAGCACUGGAAAGAAGGGAACUGUGGCUGCCCAUACCUGCGAUCACCUGGUUCAUGGGUUACAUUUGGCCAUGCUAGUGUAUAUACCAGGACAGCUGUCUCUCAACCUGGUGCCAUCCAGAUGUUCUACACUCUAGCAGCUAUUCACCCCGGCCAGCAUGUCCAGUAGGCAUGAUGGGAGCUGUAGUCCCAAACAUCUGGAGGGCAGAAGGUUGGGAAAGCCUAGACAAUACUAGUCUGUCUGGAUGAUACAUAGUCUAAUCUAGGGCAAGGCAAUAUCUGGGAAGCUGUGGAGCAAGUUUGGGGAACCUGUGACUUGCAGAUGUUUGUUAGAACAGAGGCUUUUCCCAACAGCAGGCAGCCAAAUUAAAAAGUUAAGGGCAAAGCGGUAGCCUGCGCAGGUGGUGUUCUUUGAGGAGAGAUAUUCCCUCUUUGGUGAUAACGGUUUCACACUGUGCUACAAUUACCCGCUGAUCUUCGGCCAAGGAACUCGACUGACUGUUUUAGGUAAGCAGAAGGAGUUUGCAACGUGGGGAGUGGAAUUAAAAUAGUGGCUCAUUUUAAGGGCUGCAAAAGCACUUCAGAUAUCUGCUCACAUUUAACAUUUCGUAUGGUAAAUUUUACAGGAGUGACAAUUCUGGGCAAUGGCAUCGUCUGAUUAUUUUGUUUCCACCCCUCUCUUUCUGCAAGGCACUCGAGGCAGCAUCUCUAGUCCUCUCUCAUUGCUUGCCCUCCUCCAUUUUCUCCCCACAACAGCCUUGUGAGGUAGACUAGACAGAGAGAGCGUCUGAGCCAAGGCCCCCCCAAAUGAGUUUCAUGGCUGAUUCCAAGAUGGGCAUUCUAACCACUAGAGAACACUGCCUAUCAUUUGUUGGUUCUCAUCAUCUUAACACUACCAGAGAAAAUGGAAAGGUGUGUGUGUGUCUUGUGCUUCCUCCGGGAUUUCCCAAAUCUCUGUUUAUUGAGCCCUUGAGGAGCGUAUAAAGUUGCCAUUGUCCCCAAACCGGAUUCCCAUAAGUGUAAGUGAAAGAAAGUAAAGAAAGAAUUGUUUUAGAAGUGAAACUCCGCAUUCUUUCCCACAACCUAGGCUCCUUUCGACCACCUUUUGACUUCUAGGUCUUUUUUUCACCCUCUGCAAAGCCCCCUCUGUCCCAGGUGGUCAGUUUCAAGCACUUUGGGAAACUCCACCGACCUAGUUCCAACCUCAGUUUAUUAGCAUGUCUGGCUUCACCAGACUCUGUAAGGCAAAUGCCUAAUGUGGAGCCAAGCACACAAAUUCAAGCAGGCAAAGCUGGAGCCUUAAGAUGUGGGAAACAGGGGAGGCAGCCCAGGAGUGGGAACAGGCAUGACAAACACACAAACCUCUCCCUGUCCUCACCUGCGUGAUGUUGGGAGGCCAGGUGCCUUUAGCUCUUUAGUAAAGGUUUGCCUACAGGAACAUGAUGCCGUGUACUGCUGAAAAGCUGCAUUUCGGACAAGGAACGCGGCUCACUGUACUAGGACCUGACCAAGAUGUCAGCCCCCCUCAAGUGACCGUAUUUGCCCCACCCAAGCAGGAGGUUGAUGAAAAGGAGAAAGCCACUAUUGUGUGUUUAGUCACCGAUUUCUACCCAGAUCAUGUCGCCCUGAGCUGGACUGUGAAUAACAAGACGAGAACAGCUGGGGUAAAGACAGAAGACCCAGUAUAUGACAACAGCAUGGAGCGCUAUUCAAUGACCAGUCGUUUAAGAAUCACCAAGGAAGAGUGGCAGAAUUCAGAUAAUAAGUUUGUGUGCAGAGUCAGUUUCCACGGUACAGAAGGAUCCACAGACUAUGAGGAUGACAUAAAUGGUGCAGAUUGUGGAGGCGGCAGCAAGGCUGCAAGAGAGUCGUAUCUCACGGAAGCCAAUCUCGGGAAACUGGUGUAUAUUCUUCUCGUUUUCAAGAGCACCUUGUACGGAGCCUUUGUGAUGGGAUUAAAACUAAGGAAAAAGUUGGCACUAUAGGAACAUUUUGCCCGGGGUCAUCUAUUCUAUUCAUCAUCUACCCUAAGCUGAGUGAACUCCAUGAAGAGAGAAGGGAAGAUGGAUACGCUCAACCUCGGAAGUCCAAAGUAGCAUUUUCUUAAAACAAAAACAGUUGCGUAGGGUCAGUCAGUAAAUAAUCUCUCUUUGGUUCCCUUAAAUGCUUUAUUGUUUUGUAUUGGAAACAUUUAUAAAAAGCUUUUUGGGGGGUGGGGGGAAGAAGUCCUUUCCUUGGACUGAGGAGGACACACAUAGGCAGGGGACAGUUGGAAGGGUGUGUGUGUCCCUGUAGGGUAGAAAAGAUCUCCCAGGGUGAGAGGCUGGGAGAAAAAGCAGCCUCCCAUGUAGAAGAUGGGAAGGUCUACCUCUCUGCAUAGGUUGCAGGUAGGUAGCCGUGUUGGUCUGACGUAGUCAAAACAAAAUUUAAAAAAUCCUUCCAGUAGCACCUUAGAGACCAACUAAGUUUGACAUAGGUAUGAGCUUUCGUGUGCAUGCACACUUCUUCAGAUACACUGAAACGGAAGUCACCAGACCCUUAUGUAUAGUCAAAAGCUGGGGAGGGGUAUU